rnacentral:rRNA from 1 species
AUUGAACGCUGGCGGCAUGCUUUACACAUGCAAGUCGAACGGCAGCGGGGAGGAGCUUGCUUCUCUGCCGGCGAGUGGCGAACGGGUGAGUAAUACAUCGGAACGUGUCGAGAAGAGGGGGAUAACCACCCGAAAGGGUGGCUAAUACCGCAUAAAUUCUGAGGAAGAAAGCUGGGGACCUAGGAAUAGGCCUAGCGCUUUUUGAGCGGCCGGUGUCGGAUUAGCUAGUUGGUGAGGUAAAGGCUCACCAAGGCGAAGAUCUGUAGCGGGUCUGAGAGGAUGAUCCGCCACACUGGGACUGAGACACGGCCCAGACUCCUACGGGAGGCAGCAGUGGGGAAUUUUGGACAAUGGGGGCAACCCUGAUCCAGCCAUGCCGCGUGUAUGAAGAAGGCCUUAGGGUUGUAAAGUACUUUUGUUAGGGAAGAAAAGUCAGCUGUGAAUAAUGGCUGAUACUGACGGUACCUAAAGAAUAAGCACCGGCUAACUACGUG